rnacentral:rRNA from 1 species
CCCCCGAGAGCGGGAUAGCCCUGGGAAACUGGGAUUAAUACCGCAUAGUAUCGAAAGAUUAAAGCAGCAAUGCGCUUGGGGAUGGGCUCGCGGCCUAUUAGUUAGUUGGUGAGGUAACGGCUCACCAAGGCGAUGACGGGUAGCCGGUCUGAGAGGAUGUCCGGCCACACUGGAACUGAGACACGGUCCAGACACCUACGGGUGGCAGCAGUCGAGAAUCAUUCACAAUGGGGGAAACCCUGAUGGUGCGACGCCGCGUGGGGGAAUGAAGGUCUUCGGAUUGUAAACCCCUGUCAUGUGGGAGCAAAUUAAAAAGAUAGUACCACAAGAGGAAGAGACGGCUAACUCUGUGCCAGCAGCCGCGGUAAUACAGAGGUCUCAAGCGUUGUUCGGAAUCACUGGGCGUAAAGCGUGCGUAGGCUGUUUCGUAAGUCGUGUGUGAAAGGCGCGGGCUCAACCCGCGGACGGCACAUGAUACUGCGAGACUAGAGUAAUGGAGGGGGAACCGGAAUUCUCGGUGUAGCAGUGAAAUGCGUAGAUAUCGAGAGGAACACUCGUGGCGAAGGCGGGUUCCUGGACAUUAACUGACGCUGAGGCACGAAGGCCAGGGGAGCGAAAGGGUUUAGAU